UCCGUAGGUGAACCUGCGGAGGGAUCAUUACACAAAUAUGAAGGCGGGCUGGAAUCUCUCGGGGUUACAGCCUUGCUGAAUUAUUCACCCUUGUCUUUUGCGUACUUCUUGUUUCCUUGGUGGGUUCGCCCACCACUAGGACAAACAUAAACCUUUUGUAAUUGCAAUCAGCGUCAGUAACAAAUUAAUAAUUACAACUUUCAACAACGGAUCUCUUGGUUCUGGCAUCGAUGAAGAACGCAGCGAAAUGCGAUAAGUAGUGUGAAUUGCAGAAUUCAGUGAAUCAUCGAAUCUUUGAACGCACAUUGCGCCCUUUGGUAUUCCAAAGGGCAUGCCUGUUCGAGCGUCAUUUGUACCCUCAAGCUUUGCUUGGUGUUGGGCGUCUUGUCUCUAGCUUUGCUGGAGACUCGCCUUAAAGUAAUUGGCAGCCGGCCUACUGGUUUCGGAGCGCAGCACAAGUCGCACUCUCUAUCAGCAAAGGUCUAGCAUCCAUUAAGCCUUUUUCAACUUUGACCUCGAUCAGGUAGGGAUACCCGCUGAACUUAAGCAUAUCAAAGUCCGGAGGAA
rnacentral:rRNA from 1 species